GCCCGGAUGGUGAAAUUGGUAGACACAAGGGACUUAAAAUCCCUCGCUGCUAACGCGGCGUGCCGGUUCGAUUCCGGCUCCGGGCACCA
rnacentral:tRNA from 1 species